UGAAGGAAGAGCUGUUGACAGAGAAAAC
rnacentral:piRNA from 1 species